AACGUAGGAGACAAACGUUAUCCGGAGUUACUGGGCGUAAAGGGCGUGUAGGUGGUUCGUGUAAGUCUGGCGUGAAAUUUUUCGGCUUAACCGGGAAAGGUCGUUCGGAUACUGCAGGGCUAGAGGACGGUAGAGGCGUGUGGAAUUCCGGGUGUAGUGGUGAAAUGCGUAGAGAUCCGGAGGAACACCAGUGGCGAAGGCGACACGCUGGGCCGUACCUGACACUGAUGCGCGACAGCAUGGGGAGCAAACGAGGAUUAGAGUAC
rnacentral:rRNA from 1 species